AGUGAACGCUGGCGGUAGGCCUAACACAUGCAAGUCGAACGGCAGCACAGUAAGAGCUUGCUCUUACGGGUGGCGAGUGGCGGACGGGUGAGGAAUACAUCGGAAUCUACUUUUUCGUGGGGGAUAACGUAGGGAAACUUACGCUAAUACCGCAUACGACCUACGGGUGAAAGCAGGGGAUCUUCGGACCUUGCGCGAUUGAAUGAGCCGAUGUCGGAUUAGCUAGUUGGCGGGGUAAAGGCCCACCAAGGCGACGAUCCGUAGCUGGUCUGAGAGGAUGAUCAGCCACACGGGAACUGAGACACGGCCCAGCCUCCGACGGGAGGCGGCAGUGGGAAUUUUUGACAAAGGGGCGCAACCCUGAUCCAGCCAUCCCGCGGGGGUAAAGAGGGCUUUGGGGUUGUAAACCCUUUUUGUGGGAAAAAAAAAGCAGAGGUUUAAUCCCCCGCUUUUCUGAGGGACCCAAAAAAAAAAGCCCCGGCUAAUUUCGUC
rnacentral:rRNA from 1 species